GACCGCACGGGAUAAUCGAAUAUCCCGUGCGGUCCAAUAAGGUAAACCGCACGGGAUAAUAUAUUAUUCCAUGCGGUC
rnacentral:pre_miRNA from 11 species